rnacentral:rRNA from 1 species
GUCCUUCAGAAUUUAAUUUAAGGUCUGACCUGCCCACUGAAAAUAAUUUAAAUGGCCGCAGUAAUUUGACUGUGCAAAGGUAGCAUAAUCAUUAGUUUUUUAAUUAAAAGCUUGUAUGAAGGGUUGGACGAGGUAAAAUCUGUCUCUAUUUAAUUAAAAUUAGAAUUUAACUUUUAAGUUAAAAGGCUUAAAUUUUAUUAAAAGACGAGAAGACCCUAUAGAUCUUUAUAAUUUAUUUAAUAAUUUAAAUUAAGAUUUUUUUUAAUAUUAUUAAUAUAAUUAUUUUAUUGGGGUAAUAUAAAGAUUAAAAUAAUUCUUUUUUUUUAUUAACAUUAAUAUAUGAAUUUUAUGAUCCAAUAUUAUUGAUUUUAAGAUUAAGUUACCUUAGGGAUAACAGCGUAAUUUUUUUAGAGAGUUCUUAUCGAUAAAAAAGUUUGCGACCUCGAUGUUGGAUUAAAGAUUAUUUCAGGGGUAGAAGUUUGAAAAUUUUGGUCUGUUCGACCAUUAAAUCUUUACAUGAUCUGAGUUCAGACCGGUGUAAGCCAGGUCGGUUUCUAUCUUUAAUAAAUUUAAAAUAUUUUAGUACGAAAGGACCAAUUAUUUAAUAUAAAAUAUUUAAUUUUUGAUUAUUAUUA